GAUGAACGCUGGCGGCGUGCCUAAUACAUGCAAGUCGAGCGGACACACGAGGAGCUCGCUCCCCUGCCGUUAGCGGCUGGCGGGCGAGUAACAAGUGGAUCACAUACCUAUUAUUCUUGGAUGAUUACGGGAAGACGGUGAUGCUACUGGCUCAUAUGUCGUACGGGUUGGUUCAAUAGUGAAAGGCGCCUUUGCUGUUACUUUUAGCUGGUUCCGGGCCGCAUUAGCUAGUUGGUAAGGUACCGGCUUACCAAGGCAACGAUGCGUAGCCGACCUGAGAGGAUGAUCGGCCACACUGGAACUGAGACACGGUCCAGACUCCUACGGGAGGCAGCAGUAGGGAAUCUUCCACAAUGGGCGAAAGCUUGACGGAGCAACGCCGCGUGAGUGAUGAAGGUCUUCGGAUCGUAAAACUCUUUUAUUAGGGAAGAACAAAAGUGGAUGUAACUAUGCACGUUUUGACGGUACCCAAACAAAAAGCCACGGCUAACUACGUG
rnacentral:rRNA from 1 species